rnacentral:tRNA from 1 species
GCCGAUGAUGCUUAGCCGGUUAGAGCAAAGGACUUGAAAUCCUUAGAGCAAAGCCAGGGACUUGAAAUCCUUUUUGUCAGCU